rnacentral:lncRNA from 1 species
UCGACUAUCUUGAAAAGUUCACCAAAAUUUUGCAAGACAGAAGCAUCACAUAAUCGAUUUUUUUUUUAAAAUAAUCAAUUAUUGCAUAUUUGUUCACAAAAUUUUAUGAAACAGAACUGUAGGAUAAUCAAUUAUUCAACCAGAAAAAUCGAUUAUCUGGAAUUUCCAAAAAAAUUGGAAAUUCCAGAGAGCCAAGAUAAUCGAUUAUC